GAUGAACGCUGGCGGCGUGCCUAAUACAUGCAAGUCGAGCGAACGGACGAGAAGCUUGCUUCUUUGAUGUUAGCGGCGGACGGGUGAGUAACACGUGGAUAACCUACCUAUAAGACUGGGAUAACUUCGGGAAACCGGAGCUAAUACCGGAUGAUAUUUUGAACCGCAUGGUUCUAAAGUGAAAGACGGUCUUGCUGUCACUUAUAGAUGGAUCCGCGCUGCAUUAGCUAGUUGGUAAGGUAACGGCUUACCAAGGCAACGAUGCAUAGCCGACCUGAGAGGGUGAUCGGCCACACUGGAACUGAGACACGGUCCAGACUCCUACGGGAGGCAGCAGUAGGGAAUCUUCCGCAAUGGGCGAAAGCCUGACGGAGCAACGCCGCGUGAGUGAUGAAGGUCUUCGGAUCGUAAAACUCUGUUAUUAGGGAAGAACAUAUGUGUAAGUAACUGUGCACAUCUUGACGGUACCUAAUCAGAAAGCCACGGCUAACUACGUG
rnacentral:rRNA from 1 species